GGAAUAUUGGACAGUGGGCGCAAGCCUGAUCCAGCCAUGCCGCGUGCAGGAAGACGGUCCUAUGGAUUGUAAACUGCUUUUAUACAGGAGGAAGCACCUCUACGUGUAGAGACUUGACGGUACUGUAAGAAUAAGGAUCGGCUAACUCCGUGCCAGCAGCCGCGGUAAUACGGAGGAUCCAAGCGUUAUCCGGAAUCAUUGGGUUUAAAGGGUCCGUAGGCGGGCUUAUAAGUCAGUGGUGAAAUCUCCCAGCUCAACUGGGAAACUGCCAUUGAUACUGUAGGUCUUGAAUUAUUAGGAAGUAACUAGAAUAUGUAGUGUAGCGGUGAAAUGCUUAGAUAUUACAUGGAAUACCAAUUGCGAAGGCAGGUUACUACUAAUACAUUGACGCUGAUGGACGAAAGCGUGGGUAGCGAACAGGAUUAGAUACCCCUG
rnacentral:rRNA from 1 species